rnacentral:rRNA from 1 species
AUUGAACGCUGGCGGCAGGCCUAACACAUGCAAGUAGAGCGGAGCGGCGGACGGGUGAGUGAUGCCUAGGAAUCUGCCUGGUGGUGGGGGAUAACGUCCGGUAACGGGCGCUAAUACCGCAUAAUAUCAGUCGAGCCUAGGUCGGAUUAGCUAGUUGGUGGGGUAACGGCCUACCAAGGCGACGAUCCGUAACUGGUCUGAGAGGAUGAUCAGUCACACUGGAACUGAGACACGGUCCAGACUCCUACGGGAGGCAGCAGUGGGGAAUAUUGGACAAUGGGCGAAAGCCUGAUCCAGCCAUGCCGCGUGUGUGAAGAAGGUCUUCGGAUUGUAAAGCACUUUAAGUUGGGAAGCGUUACCAACAGAAUAAGCACCGGCUAACUUCGUGCCAGCAGCCGCGGUAAUUC